AGUGAACGCUGGCGGUAGGCCUAACACAUGCAAGUCGAACGGCAGCACAGGAGAGCUUGCCCUCUGGGUGGCGAGUGGCGGACGGGUGAGGAAUACAUCGGAAUCUACUCUGUCGUGGGGGAUAACGUAGGGAAACUUACGCUAAUACCGCAUACGACCUACGGGUGAAAGCAGGGGACCUCCGGACCUUGCGCGAUACAAUGGGCCGGGGUCGGAUUAGCUAGUUGGCGGGGUAAAGGCCCACCAAGGCGACGAUCCGUAGCUGGUCUGAGAGGAUGACCAGCCACACUGGAACUGAGACACGGUCCAGACUCCUACGGAAGGCAGCAGUGGGGAAUAUUGGACAAUGGGCGCAAGCCUGAUCCAGCCAUACCGCGUGGGUGAAGAAGGCCUUCGGGUUGUAAAGCCCUUUUGUUGGGAAAGAAAUCCAGCUGGCUAAUACCCGGUUGGGAUGACGGUACCCAAAGAAUAAGCACCGGCUAACUUCGUGCCAGCCGCCGCCGUAA
rnacentral:rRNA from 1 species